AGAGCCCAAGAUUGAAAGCUGGCGUCUUCGGCGUCCGCAUUGUAAUCUCAAGAAGUGUUUUCCGCUUCGGACCAAGCCUAAGUCCCUUGGAAAAGGGCAUCAUAGAGGGUGAUAAUCCCGUACAUGGCUUGGAGCGCCCGAAGCUUUGUGAUACGCUUUCUAAGAGUCGAGUUGUUUGGGAAUGCAGCUCAAAAUGGGUGGUAAAUGCCAUCUAAGGCUAAAUAUUGGGGAGAGACCGAUAGCGAACAAGUACAGUGAUGGAAAGAUGAAAAGAACUUUGAAAAGAGAGUUAAACAGUACGUGAAAUUGCCAAAAGGGAAGGGUAGGAGGUCAGAGAUGCGGCCUGGGAUUCAGCCUUGCUUUUGCUUGGUGUUUUUCCCAGAUUGCAGGCCAACGUCGGUUUUGGGCACUGGAGAAGGGUAGGAGGAACGUGGCACCUCUCGGGGUGUGUUAUAGCCUCCUACUGGAUACAGCGACCGAGACCGAGGACAGCAGCGUACUCGCAAGAGCGGGCCUUCGGGCACCUUUACGCUUAGGGCGUUGGCAUAAUGGCCCUCUACCACCCGUCUUGAAACACGGACCA
rnacentral:rRNA from 1 species